GACGAACGCUGGCGGCGUGCUUAACACAUGCAAGUCGAACGAUGAAGCCGGAGCUUGCUCUGGUGAAUUAGUGGCGAACGGGUGAGUAACACGUGAGUAACCUGCCCUUGACUCUGGGAUAACUGCUAGAAAUGGUAGCUAAUACCGGAUACGACCCUCGGCGGCAUCGCCAGGGGGUGGAAAGAAUUUCGGUCAAGGAUGGACUCGCGGCCUAUCAGCUAGUUGGUGAGGUAACGGCUCACCAAGGCGACGACGGGUAGCCGGCCUGAGAGGGUGACCGGCCACACUGGGACCGAGACACGGCCCAGACUCCUACGGGAGGCAGCAGUGGGGAAUAUUGCACAAUGGGCGCAAGCCUGAUGCAGCAACGCCGCGUGAGGGAUGACGGCCUUCGGGUUGUAAACCUCUUUUAGUAGGGAAGGAGCGAAAGUGACGGUACCUGCAGAAAAAGCACCGGCUAACUACGUGCCAGCAGCCGCGGUAA
rnacentral:rRNA from 1 species